AACAACACACGUUAUGGCAAGUUACUCAUGAGUUAAUAAUAACAGAAGUUAUAAAAGUUUUUUGAACCAAUAGCAGCUUGACAGUAAGCAGAUUAGUAAAAGAACAGCAAUGACUGCUGGAUACAGAAAAGAAAAGUGCAGUUGAAACAGCCUACUGAAGUAUUAUGAUAAUAAAGGAAAUUUAGUUCAGAAUAACAGGCUGAAGACACGUUUUGGUCGAGGAGAAGGAACAAAACUAGAAAAAUGAUGACAUCUGAUAAAGUUUGCAAAUUUAUUGAAACAUAGAAGUUCAGAUUGAUAAGCAGCAAUGUGAGGUGUUAUCUAUGAAGGAUUUAAGUUAGAGAAGGGAUUGAGAGCCAUCAAUUUUCUAUUAGAUGUGAGAAAAUCAAUUUGAUAUUUUAAUAGUUAUUUUUAGCAAACUCUGCUUUGAUGGUUUUUCAGUUGAAUAGCUCUUUGAUAUAGAAACAAGGGGAGCUGCCUGAGUUUCUUUCAAUGAAUUGUUUCAUUCUAGUUUCUUGGUCGUGUGGCUUUACAAUUAAAUGUCAUUUUCCUUUUCGAGGCAUGAAGGCCGACCAAAUUCUAAAGUUUCCAGAGAGUAAGUGUUUGCUCGCAGUGAGUGUGCGAUGGCUGUCCUGGGAGGCACACAGCAGGUGAAAUUAAAUGGUAAAGAGCAGAAAAAAGAAAUAUUAGCUGCAAAGGUGGUCAAAGGAGGGAGCUGUGGCAGCAACAUAUGUGGUAACAGUACAACUAAGUAGUUAAAGAUAAAAUAAAAGACGUCAGAUAAGAGAUAGAGAAAACUCAGAAUGAAGGGAAAAUAGGGAGAAACAGUUUGACCAACAGGUAGAUAAUAUUGACAUACUAUAUAGCCUUUAGUGAAGGAAAAGUAGUCACUGAGACAGAAUAAUGAAAGAGCCCAUCCUGUUAGAUAAGGUCUAAAUAGAUAUACCCCCAGAUGAAGAAACGUAUACAGCAAGUGGAAGAAAGAUAUAAGUAAGUGCAGUCAAGGGCCAGUACAGGCAGAAGAAGAAGAAAAAAGAAUUAGGGUCUUUAAAGGGUUGAG